UUUUAAGAAGUUAUGUCUAUUAAAAGUUAUGUCUAUGUAUGGAAUUAUAAUGUAUGUAAUUAGAAUGUCAAAAAGAUCCAUAAACCCGGCAAAUCAAUUAGACAUUUAAACCCGUCUUUUUUUUUUCAAAAAAAAAA